UGAACAUAGUUUAACAAAAACAAUGGGCAGUGGCCCCAAAAAUAAAGAGCUAUCUUUUGUUCACC
rnacentral:tRNA from 1 species